rnacentral:rRNA from 1 species
AUUGAACGCUGGCGGCAGGCUUAACACAUGCAAGUCGAGCGAGCGGCGGACGGGUGAGUAAUGUCUGGGAAACUGCCUGAUGGAGGGGGAUAACUACUGGAAACGGUAGCUAAUACCGCAUACCAUCAGAUGUGCCCAGAUGGGAUUAGCUAGUAGGUGGGGAAAUGGCUCACCUAGGCGACGACCCCUAGCUGGUCUGAGAGGAUGACCAGCCAAAUUGGAACGGAGACACGGCCCAGACUCCUACGGGAGGCAGCAGUGGGGAAUAUUGGACAAUGGGCGCAAGCCUGAUGCAGCCAUGCCGGGUGGGUGAAGAAGGCUUUCGGGUUGUAAAGCACUUUCAGCGAGGAGGCGUUACCCGCAGAAGAAGCACCGGCUAACUCCGUGCCAGCAGCCGCGGUAAUUC